GGGGUUGCAGUUCUGUGGGAGAGCACCUGCCUAGCAAGUAGGAGGCUUGGGUUCCAAUGCCCAGCACACCCA
rnacentral:tRNA from 1 species